CUGGUACAUUCGGUGCCCGAGUUGUAAAUUGUAGAAGGGGACUCUGGGGCUGGUCCUCGUCUAUGUUCCUUGGAACACGAGGUCACGGAGGGUGAGAAUCCCGUAUGGCGAGGAUCCCACUUCUUUGUAGAGUGCCUUUGAAGAGUCGAGUUGUUUGGGAAUGCAGCUCUAAGUGGGUGGUAAAUUCCAUCUAAAGAUAAAUAUUGGCGAGAGACCGAUAGCGAACAAGUACACUGAUGGAAAGAUGAAAAGAACUUUGAAAAGAGAGUGAAAAAGUACGCGAAAUUGUUGAAAGGGAAGGGCACUUGAUCAGACACGGUGUUUUGCGCCCCUCGCCUCUCGUGGGUGGGGGAAUCUCGCAGCUCACUGGGCCAGCAUCAGUUUUGGCGGCAGGAUAAAUCCCCGGGAAUGUAGCUCUACCACUUCGUGGCGGACGAACUUAUAGUCUCACGGGGAGAUACUGCCACGCGUGGGAGCUGA
rnacentral:rRNA from 1 species